UUUUUGUAGAAGUCCAGAGUCACUUCCUUCUGAUAAAGUGAUAUGUAUGCCUGGGAAAAUGAUUUCUGGGUAAGAGCAAGGUGUGGCUCAGUGAUAUAACUGCCCUGGCUGGUCAUGUGCUAGGAACCCCGAGCAGCAGGAAAGCUUAAACGCUGCUGUUUCCUGCAGGGCCUGUCAUUACCAGGAGAAGAAUGGGAAGAAAAAGAGGCAGAAAUACCAAAACUUGGUUAUGGUAACAGGAUACAAUUAGAAGGGGGAAAAUUAUUUCCCGCUUCAAUAUCAUAGGAAACAUACAUGGACUCCGGGGUGGGGGCUGAGAAAAGGUGCUGUGAAUUGGCCCUGCACACCAGGUAAUGAGUCACUAGAGAAAAUGUGCUUACGUUGUGUUUCAUGUUUGCAGGAGACUCGUGAUCUCUUGUUGUUCUGGUGACAGUUGCUCACAAUUUGCCAAACUUUGGAGUUUAAAUAAAAAUAACAGGCACACAACCCACCCCCACCUCUGUCCAGGACUAUACAGAGAACAAACCAAGGAGUAUUAAGUUCCAUAUUUCUGAACAAAACAAGACAUGGAGAAUUUAUGAUAUGGAGCUUAUGAAGAGAUAUAAUACCUUGGACAAGCUGGAAGAUCAAAGCUACCCCACAUUUCCUUCACAGCACCACAGUAUUACAAAAAUAAACCAACUAACCAACAAAACCCAAACCCUAAACCUAAAGCCUCUGAUAUCAAAUGGCCCAUUAUCAAUAGUUGUAUGGUAAUUGUAUUUUUUUAUGUAUUUCUUAAAGCUCUACCUUAAAAAUAAAGCUCCAUCAAAACAAAAGCCAAACCGCAACCAGACCUCAACACAGUUUUCAAGAUGUUGUUUGCACUAAGUAUUUGAAGUUACAGAAUGAUGCCACAUCUUAAGUGGCAUCAUUGUGUGCAGAAUAACACAACUGAAAUUGAGGCAAUUGCUUUUUUCUUGCCCAUGAGACCACACGCUCUAUUCACCUACUCUAUAAUAUAGUCUCAAAAUCCCCUUUUUCUGUGACUAUGAUCAGCUGAGAGCCCAUCACCCGUAAGUAACUAUACUUUUUCUGUGCAUUAAACUUCAUUUAUCUAUACUGUAUUUCAUCUGCCAUUUUAUCACCCAGACACUUCACCCCUAUACACGUUGUCCCCCUCCUGUCUUUUCCACCAAAGUGAAAUUUGAUCAUCCACCUCCUUUCUACACAAAUGACAAAAGCUGCAAUAACACAGGUCUUAGACUCACUGAAAACCUUGGAGCUUAUUUCUCUUUCCUCUACUUUACCCAGUUUUUAACUAACAAGGACCACUAUUUUCUUCUGGCACAUCUGACCCCGAGUCCCCUGAAUACCUGCAAGAAAUUAAGACUAAUUAAGACUACCUUUUGCUAAAUGGACAAUACAUAUUUGUGCAGCAUUUAGAAGAACACACCACCAGAACAAGAAGACUGGUUAUCAGAAGUGAAAAACCAAACUGUGCAGAUUUUCUUGCACACCCAACCUCACUGACUACUGCUGGCCACCUAAUACAGGCUAUCCCUGAUUUACAGAACUAGGCUUGUCUCUUCUGUCAGCCUCAUCAUUUUUAUUCAGAAGAAUCAAAACCAAAGAACAAUCAGUGAACCUCAUCAUUAACAUUUAAUUACUGGAAAUACUGCUAAAUUCAAUUAUGGAUAGAGAUAAUAUCAAUAUACUGGCAGCAAUAAUGAACCGGGGAAAAAAUUACCUUGGCAUGUCAUUAAUCCCUGUAGAACUACUAGGGGCUCUAAAAAGUGAGUAUCCUUUUGGUAUAAACUGCCUGGUAAUGUAAUACCUAGUAAAGGAAUAACACCUCAAUGGUUUUAUUAACACACAUACAUUCCAAAGGGCUAAAAGAACACAUUAGUUAGGAAAAUCAUGGCCUAGGACAAUACCUGGGAACAAAUCCAGAGGUUUUUUGAAGCAUUUCAACUGUGCUUUAGUCAACUGUUUCAUCCCCACUUCCCAAUUUAAGCCACUGAGGCCUCAACAAGAUACAGAAAAGAGCAGACAGCUGACUGUUUUCCUAUUUUAACUCUUUAGUUUAACAUCAAGAGUAGAUUUAUCAGUAGAAAAGAAACAAUUCUGAAUCCCUGUGUUUUUAAUGCAUAGUUAGAUUCCACUGCACAUAAGAACAUACACUCUGUCUUGAAGAGUUAAUCUUAUCUGAAAAGCAACAAAAAGGCCUACAGAGAAUCUGACAAUGCAGGAAUAGAGCUGCAGGAAAAAAAAAAACUUGAACAGCUAAUUGAAAAGACUUCUUAAAGAAAGCCAAACAAAAUGAACAGUGAAUAAAAAUUUCCUCAUAGUUGACCAAUACUAAUAUAAUCAAAACCAAACAAAUAAACCUACUGCAACAUCCUCUUCCAAUUUACUAAGUGUUAAUUCUGCAUCAUCUUCUGUUAUUUCUUCUUCUUCUGGCUCUUCUGCUAGGUAUGCUGGCCUGAAAUUAAUUCAAAGAACAGCAGAGCUUUCAAAUGCAAUAAAUUGUAAAUGCCUCUGCAAACAAAACAUUUCAUGAGAAAAAUGGAUAAUAUGGAACAUACCUAGACAGUGAUUAGUGUUUCACAACUUAAAUAAAUAUAUACUCUGCCUUGAAAGUCUAGUUUAUCUUGGACCAUCUAAAAGUAAAGGCAGUACAGUACAGUCAACUACAAAGUCAUCUAGGAGGUAAAUUUUGGUGUUUUUCUCUAUUGGUCUAAGCUCUUAAAAUUCAAGGGCAAGUCACCAUAGGCUUGUUUGCAGCCUACAGUAGAAUUUGUGUACUAAAGAGAAGUAACAGUAAAAUAUUUCCAAGGUAGAAAUUACUUUGCUAUAUCCAUUUCAAAACCCAUUGGAAGAAAAGAAUAAAAUAAAGAACACUUUUAAAGACAUUUUCAUAUAUUUGAGAUUAUCUGUCAUCUAAUUUGUCCUAAGAUUUCCUUUAGAUUAAAUAAAAUUACUCUAGUCUACAUGUAACAUGAUUAUACUGUGCGUAACUCCAGGAAUUUACUACUGAUUGAUAGAACCUAAAAGGACAUUACAUGUUUCAACUCAAAUAUCAGAUUAACAAGGAGUUAUGUGUAGGGAAAUAACAACAACAACAAAAAAAGUAAUCGGUUAAACCUUAAUUAGCUAAGUCUAUAAUGGUCCAAACUCAGCCUUGCAGGUAACAGGUCAGUUGUGUGAAAUUGCAUUAGGAAUUAAUUGGUCAUCCUGCUUCAAGUUGAAUUUUCCAUCUCAUAAAACGUCAAGUAAAAUGGUUUUAGUCAAUCCUAUCUUUUAUCUUACCACUACAACUUACAUCUGUUUGCUGGAAAACAAUGCAUAAGGGAGGAUGCUUAGAAGUGUACUGCACCUUUUCCAGCUAAACCCAGUGUGUUUCAAGGCUUCUUCAGCUAAACAAUCAAGAACAUAGCACACUUGUUCUCCGCAGCCUGCCUUUAAUUUUGAGGGAGGGAAAUCCACAGGCCUUCCCUAAAAUAAAGAGACAAGCUGUUUACUAAUGGCCUAACAACCCGAAUUUCCUGAAAGGGAGAUAAGUUUUGUACACUAAAACCAAAGUGUCCCUUGUGUAUGAGAUUUUAUUAAUGACAAUUUACAUUCUUCUCCUGUGCAGCUCCACUGAGGCAGCAGAAGGAAAAGCAGACGAAGCCAAGGAACAGAUGCAAUGUAGAAAUCUUUAAGCAUAUGGUAAGAGCAUACUCCCAGGUAGCAGAAGAGGCAGAAGCCACAAGGGAUCUGGAUGGUCAAGUCACACAAGUGACAAGGCAAGGUAAGAACAGCUACAGAGAAACUCAAGUAUUGAGACUUAACUAGCAACUUUUCAACAGAGUCCUGUUUAGUUCAGAUUUUACUUAUAAAAUAUUUUAAUUUAUUACUGUCAUCCAGGAUAAACAUAGUAGUUUGAUAUAGUUUAAUAGUUUAGUCCUUUAGAGAACAGUGUCCUUAACAUCAUUCACAGCUACACCAGAGUAUAAACUUCCAUAAGAUAAUACUUCUUGCCAGUUGAUAUAGACUCCUGACCUUUGGAGUUUGGCUUUUUUCCUUCCUUUUUUUUUUAAUUUAAAAAAAUCUCAGUAGUUCCUGGCAGUUUGUACAACCUUUUACUCCUAAAAAAAUAAAUAAAAGUAAAUAAGAAUAAAAAAAAGAAGAAACACAAACACUAAUCUAAACCACUCCGUACACUAUAAAUUAAGUCAUUGACUUUGGCUGGAGCAGGAUCACAAACUUUGUAAACCUUCCAGAUGAAAUCUCUGAAAAUUAUGCUACUACAAAUGAGCAACAUAAGCAGCACUACAAAAAGUAAGCCUGGUUUAAUCAAUUUACAGACUGCAGAACAAAACUAACUGGAAUAAUUUAUAAGACCAUUUCUGUAGUGCUAAAAAAAAUAGCAAGUAGGUACAGCCUAUGUAAACUUCCUAUUAACUAAGUAACAUAGUACAAACUUACAGCUAGAAAAAGUCUGUCCAGUCCUAAGGACCAGACCCAGCAGGAGAACAGUGUGUGACUGCUGUUAUUUCUGAAUGGAAUGCAGGCAUCUGCAACACACUUGGGAAGAGAGCCCGAGUGACACUCACAA